rnacentral:misc_RNA from 1 species
CUUCGUUUCAAUACGAUGGAGCAUGGUUUUGCUCUGCCUUUUCUCUUUUCGAACUCGCGAGACUCCGAACGUUAUUAUAGCCGCACUAAAAUCUCGUGGAAAAAGUUAAAAUGUGUUUUUCGGUGUAACUAAAAUAAAUAUUACGUUUUCACGUCGCAAUCAUUAUUUCAAUGGAUAAUUUAAUCGAUAUUCUCAUAGAACUGAAGUGGAUUUCAUAGAAUUUAUCCUGACGCUGUGAAAUACUGGAAGUUAACCUAAAAAUGUUGCGGACAGUGAAAAAAAUGAGGUUGUAAAAUCGUAACGAAAUAAUCGUGUGUGCAUCAAAAGUGGAGAAUCUCGUUAUGAUUUCGAAAGAUGGCGACGAACAAAGUGACCGAAGGUUCUGCGACACAUGCACGAAAUAUUUUGUCUUGAGUUAACACGAAAAGUCAUUUGGAAGAUUUUACGGAGAAGCUUGAAAGAAAAAACGAUAAAAAAGUGUAAUUUCUCGAUAAAUAUUUGGUGGGGAGAGAAAAAAUUCCAAGAGAAAAAUGCACGAUGCACCGGUUUGCAAAAACGUCGAAACUCGAUACCACAGACACUUGGCUAUUUGCAUAUCUAUAUAUAAACCUAUAAUGCACAUAUUGCCGUGUCGUUCAAUAUAUACAGACAUAUAACCGACGUAACCGGUCACGAAGUGCGAAUUACCGCGCAUUAUCGCCCCUGUCGUACGUCCGACUACAGCGUUGACUCGAGCUCCUUAAAAAUAAGCCUUGGCGACUCACGCCACCAUGCGGUCAACCGCUGUACUCGCACACUCGUAAUUAUUACGGCCAACGCAUUUUACACCGAUACUACCGAGAGCAAAAAAACGUUUCUCCUAUUACGAAGCAUGAGAAGAGAAUAAAUUCGAUUAUUACGAACGUACAAAAUCAGUGACUGCGGACGAAAUUUUUUUAAUCUCACUCCCAAAAUUUUGUCGUCUGGACAACAAUCUGAAUAUUUCGAAAUAAACGAAAUUUUGUUAGCGAAACACGAAGUAAUUUUCUACGAACACGGGUUCGAUGAAAUUUUCUUCAUAGUUAUAAUUACCGUAACGGGCGUUACGAACCAUUGGAGAGGAGAAAAAGUACCAGAAAAUGGAUUCGAGAUUGCACCGAAUUUACCGUUUUGCAUUUAACGAGUAAAUAAAAUGAACUUUGUCUCAACGAAGACUCUCAGUCAAAUUCAAAGGGUUUGCUGCAUGCUACCGAAAUAUUUCGUCUCGGAACGCCAGUUUAUCAUCAUCCAUCGAUUCAUCGCUCAAAAACUGCAUCGCAAUUUCGAUUGUCGUGUGACUAUGCUCAUGUUCAGAGACGAUUGUCGAAAGAGAGAAAGAGCGAGAAAGGCUUCGCGCGUAACCCGCGAGUCUCGCAUAACUACUCCUGUAAACAGCUUUUAGAACGCUCCUUACAUAUAUAUCUCUAUAUAUUUCCUUAGUUCGUUUCUAUCUCGCUAGGCGCGCAAUGGUUCUUAUACACGCCGGCCGAACGCCCGGCAUUCAGUUUUCAAUGCGAUGAUUAGCACUUGGCACUCUUGGCAAGGAGCUGCGAACAGCUGAGAGCACCGACACUUUUUCCCAUAAGACAACGUUAUUUAUGAGUAAAUGAAUAAAAAAAAAGGAUUGACCACUUCGACACGCAUCGACCUUCGUUCGAACUUACAAAUGCGACGAAUAUCGAAACUGAACAAGCCUCCAUUACUUAUUAUAACCUCUAAUCCUCGUACUCGAAAUUGCAGGGGGAGUGCACGUUUCAGCAGCUCGUGGUUCGCCACCGGGAGCAUCGUCAGUCGGCGGGGGCGGAGGUCAAGCGAGCGGACUGGGUAACGGCGGACUAAACUGCGGUCAGGGCUCGCCGGGUGCGGCGACCGG